rnacentral:rRNA from 1 species
UGGGGAUAUUGCACAAUGGGGGAAACCCGUGAUGCAGCGACGCCGCGUGGAGGAAGAAGGUUUUCGGAUUGUAAACUCCUGUCGUAAGGGACGAUAAUGACGGUACCUUACAAGAAAGCCACGGCUAACUACGUGCCAGCAGCCGCGGUAAAACGUAGGUGGCAAGCGUUGUCCGGAAUUACUGGGUGUAAAGGGAGCGCAGGCGGACCGGCAAGUUGGAAGUGAAAACUAUGGGCUCAACCCAUAAACUGCUUUCAAAACUGCUGGCCUUGAGUAGUGCAGAGGUAGGCGGAAUUCCCGGUGUAGCGGUGGAAUGCGUAGAUAUCGGGAGGAACACCAGUGGCGAAGGCGGCCUACUGGGCACCAACUGACGCUGAGGCUCGAAAGUGUGGGUAGCAAACAGGAUUAGAUACCCUGGUAGU